CUCAGGACGAACGCUGGCGGCGUGCCUAAUACAUGCAAGUCGAACGAACUCUGGUAUUGAUUGGUGCUUGCAUCAUGAUUUACAUUUGAGUGAGUGGCGAACUGGUGAGUAACACGUGGGAAACCUGCCCAGAAGCGGGGGAUAACACCUGGAAACAGAUGCUAAUACCGCAUAACAACUUGGACCGCAUGGUCCGAGUUUGAAAGAUGGCUUCGGCUAUCACUUUUGGAUGGUCCCGCGGCGUAUUAGCUAGAUGGUGGGGUAACGGCUCACCAUGGCAAUGAUACGUAGCCGACCUGAGAGGGUAAUCGGCCACAUUGGGACUGAGACACGGCCCAAACUCCUACGGGAGGCAGCAGUAGGGAAUCUUCCACAAUGGACGAAAGUCUGAUGGAGCAACGCCGCGUGAGUGAAGAAGGGUUUCGGCUCGUAAAACUCUGUUGUUAAAGAAGAACAUAUCUGAGAGUAACUGUUCAGGUAUUGACGGUAUUUAACCAGAAAGCCACGGCUAACUACGUGCCAGCAGCCGCGGUAAUACGUAGGUGGCAAGCGUUGUCCGGAUUUAUUGGGCGUAAAGCGAGCGCAGGCGGUUUUUUAAGUCUGAUGUGAAAGCCUUCGGCUCAACCGAAGAAGUGCAUCGGAAACUGGGAAACUUGAGUGCAGAAGAGGACAGUGGAACUCCAUGUGUAGCGGUGAAAUGCGUAGAUAUAUGGAAGAACACCAGUGGCGAAGGCGGCUGUCUGGUCUGUAACUGACGCUGAGGCUCGAAAGUAUGGGUAGCAAACAGGAUUAGAUACCCUGGUAGUCCAUACCGUAAACGAUGAAUGCUAAGUGUUGGAGGGUUUCCGCCCUUCAGUGCUGCAGCUAACGCAUUAAGCAUUCCGCCUGGGGAGUACGGCCGCAAGGCUGAAACUCAAAGGAAUUGACGGGGGCCCGCACAAGCGGUGGAGCAUGUGGUUUAAUUCGAAGCUACGCGAAGAACCUUACCAGGUCUUGACAUACUAUGCAAAUCUAAGAGAUUAGACGUUCCCUUCGGGGACAUGGAUACAGGUGGUGCAUGGUUGUCGUCAGCUCGUGUCGUGAGAUGUUGGGUUAAGUCCCGCAACGAGCGCAACCCUUAUUAUCAGUUGCCAGCAUUAAGUUGGGCACUCUGGUGAGACUGCCGGUGACAAACCGGAGGAAGGUGGGGAUGACGUCAAAUCAUCAUGCCCCUUAUGACCUGGGCUACACACGUGCUACAAUGGAUGGUACAACGAGUUGCGAACUCGCGAGAGUAAGCUAAUCUCUUAAAGCCAUUCUCAGUUCGGAUUGUAGGCUGCAACUCGCCUACAUGAAGUCGGAAUCGCUAGUAAUCGCGGAUCAGCAUGCCGCGGUGAAUACGUUCCCGGGCCUUGUACACACCGCCCGUCACACCAUGAGAGUUUGUAACACCCAAAGUCGGUGGGGUAACCUUUUAGGAACCAGCCGCCUAAGGUGGGACAGAUGAUUAGGGUGAAG
rnacentral:rRNA from 2 species